CUGCCUCCCAGGGCCUCGGGAUGUCGGUCGCGGCUCGGAAGCGCCGGGCCUCCCCGCCUGGUGGGGUCGAAGCCCAGGAGGCCAAGACGGCCGCACGCGCAGUGACAGGGCGCGCCCUUCUCCUGCCCCGGCCCGCGCAGCCCCGCGCUUGUGGUCUGACCGGGGAGUUAAGGCGGGCGGCGGCGUAUUUGGGGGGCUUGGUACCCAGCACCUGGGGCGUUCGAGGAUGAAGCCCUAGGCUUCGAGUGCCUUAGUUGGGGUUGGGCUGGUGUCAGAAUGACCUCUGGCGUGGUCGGCCUGUGACAGCUACCAGUUAGGUGCCAUCGUGCGAGUGUUCUGGAUAUCAGAAGACGGGUUUCAGUCACUCAGGCCUUUUUUGCAUCGCAGCUCUGUUGCUGUCUUGAUGGGCCAUCUUCGGCCGGUGGCUUACUUGGUCCAAACCUCUCAUCUGUGAAAUGGGAGUAAAAUGAUCCUGGGAAGAUAAAGCGAGAAGGAGCACACCAGCGUCUGGCACCCUGUGCCAAAUGAAGAUUCGAAGUGACACAAGUUGAUUUUUCUGAUGCGAACUCCAGGAGUCACGACAGUGAUAAAACACAACAUCAGGACCUGGUUGCCCCCAGAUUUCCUGGCAGUGUCCGAUAAUGAGGAGACGACUUGUUUCUAGAGCUUUACUUUAAGGUCUAAGCUACCGGAAGAGGCAUCCUCAUCCGUGACUGUGGCUCUACAGGGUUGGGAGAAUCUCUGAGAAGAGACCCGUAAGACAACAGGCUGUUUUAGGUGGAAACUUGAGGCAGUAGUUCUUCAGCAGAGUCAUUUGGUUUUUGCUGAUGCUGCAUGAUACUGGACCAUAGGUGACAAAUAAAAGACUCUAGAACUCUU